UCCCUGGUAGUAUAUCGGUUAGUACACGCGCCUGUCAUAAUGACUGAGCAUCUGGCGCGCGAAAGCUGGGUUCGACUCCCAGCCAGGGAG